rnacentral:rRNA from 1 species
AUUGAACGCUGGCGGCAUGCUUUACACAUGCAAGUCGAACGGCAGCACGGGAGCAAUCCUGGUGGCGAGUGGCGAACGGGUGAGUAAUAUAUCGGAACGUGCCUUAUAGUGGGGGAUAACGCAGCGAAAGUUGCGGUAAUACCGCAUACGCCCUGAGGGGGAAAGCGGGGGAUCGAAAGACCUCGCGCUACUAGAGCGGCCGAUAUCUGAUUAGCUAGUUGGUGAGGUAAAGGCUCACCAAGGCUUCGAUCAGUAGCUGGUCUGAGAGGACGAUCAGCCACACUGGGACUGAGACACGGCCCAGACUCCUACGGGAGGCAGCAGUGGGGAAUUUUGGACAAUGGGGGCAACCCUGAUCCAGCAAUGCCGCGUGAGUGAAGAAGGCCUUCGGGUUGUAAAGCUCUUUUGUCAGGGAAGAAACAGCAGCUCUAACACAGCUGUGAAUGACGGUACCUGAAGAAUAAGCACCGGCUAACUACGUGCCAGCAGCCGCGGUAAUACGUAGGGUGCAAGCGUUAAUCGGAAUUACUGGGCGUAAAGCGUGCGCAGGCGGUUAUACAAGACAGGCGUGAAAUCCCCGGGCUUAACCUGGGAAUUGCGUCUGUGACUGUAUGGCUAGAGUGUGUCAGAGGGGGGUAGAAUUCCACGUGUAGCAGUGAAAUGCGUAGAUAUGUGGAGGAAUACCAAUGGCGAAGGCAGCCCC